AAAAAUGCCAUCUGUGGAUAAAUGGAAAAUGCAAUUUGUAAAUAAUACAUGUGGACUAUUGUUUUGUAUUGAAAACCUCCUUUUCUUGAUAAUAUUAAUAUUCAUACUGGAAAAUAUAAGCACUUCGGGUCUAAGACACAACUAAAAAUUUCAAUGGAUACUGAUAUUCUAAUAAGUGAUAAAGACAAUCUUUACGACUUUGCCUUGGAUGACUUGAACAAUGACUGUCAUUGGUCUUCAUUAUUAAAUUCAGCAGAUGCAUCACCAAGUGAGAUACUUGCUGAUGCAGCACCCAGCCUUGUUUCCCCAAUUUCACCUAUUGCCAGCUUAAAAUCUUCUCCAAAUGAAAGCAGUAACUCAGAUUCUGGUAGUGAAGAUGAUACAAAAAAUUCCAGUUCUACAUCAGUUAGGGAUUCAUCUCAAUCUCCUAAUGAAUGGUUGUCAAAUGAUUCUGAAGCUGUAUACCAGCUUAAACCAGAGGAUGUUGAAAAGUUUUUACAAAAAUCAGAUAAUAUUGAUGUGGAAUGUACGAACAAUGCACCAAUUAUCAAGAAUGUCGAGCAAAAGGUACCAGUAAUGUCAAUAGAAAAUGGUGUGAUAAAGGUGAAUGGAAUUGGUAGUUAUGUUAAUCCAAAAACUUUAUGCUCACUUUCUACUAAAGUUAAAGGUACAAAUCAUGGCUCAUAUUUCAAUGUAAUAAAUGAGCAUUUUAAUAACGGAAGGAAAGAAGAAAGGGAACAGGCAAUAUCUUACCAAAAAGCAGUAUCCAUAAAAAGCCAAUGUAAUCCAAUAGUAAUUUUACCUAAUUGUACAUCACAAGUCACAAAAAGCAGAGUUGCUGUAUUACCACAAAAAUUACACCAUGAGGGCUCAAAUGGUUAUCAGAUAAAGUCUCCUCCUAGAAGUCAUAUUAUGUUAAGUCCAAACUCUGUUCAAGUGGAAUCAGCUUCAGAAUGCAAUUCAACAAGCCCUAUCUUAGAAGUUCCUCAGUUAAGUGAAGCGGAUAUUAAAGCUAUGAAGAAACAGCAGCGAAUGAUAAAAAAUCGAGAGUCAGCCUGCCAAUCGCGCCAGAAAAAGAAAGAAUAUGUUACAGCAUUAGAACAACAAUUGUUAGAGGCACAUCAGGAAAUAGGAAAGUUACGACUAGAAAACAAAAUACUUAGAAAUCAACUGGAAUCGAAUGGCAGGAUUCGAAAGAUACCAAGGCUAGACUCGUCAUUGUUAAUACCGAAAAAGAACAUUGCUGUUAUUUUCGCUAUGGUGUUCAUGGUCUCCUUAAACUUUAAUAUUUUAGGAUGGAAUUCCAAGCCAUUUGUUGGACCAACACAUUCUCAUGUUGGUAAUCGGCAUUUAUUAUGGGCGGAAGAUAAUAAGGAUGUAUCUUUAGAUUACGAACACUUAAACCGCAGUACUGAUGGUAUUGACUGUCAGAAUAGUACAAUGUUUGAGAAUAUUAAUCAGACUGAGAGCAUACGAAUCGUAGGAGACUUAAAACGUUGGAUCCGCGGUGGGAAGACCUUAAAUUGGACCUCGGCGCCCAAAAAGCGUAGAUAUGUCAACGAAGAACAAAUUAAUGGAGGUCUGUUAGGAGCGUACAACCUAUUCAAUAAAGUGAAUUUGGAUGACUUUGUCGAAUUUCCCACUAAAAACGGCAAAAAUAUUCGCGACAAGACGCGCGUACGGCGUUUGCGAAGAUCAACAGAGAAAGACAUCGAAUUCGACGGAUUGUAUUAUGAAAGACUGUAUAAUAGACAUAUAAGGAAGAAUAAUGAAUUUAACGACUUUGGUGAAUGGAGUGAAUUGCUUCAAGCCUUGCAGAGACGUGAUGAUACGUUUUACGUAGUUGGUGUUGGUAAAGGAGAACACUUGUUGUUGCCAGCUGUGUCUCAUAACGUCACUAGGCCACCGAAAAUGGCGCUUAUAUUGCCAGCACGGGGUGCUAAUGAUUCCGUAUUAAGCGAUCACGUAACAUUGAUGCAAAUUGACUGCUCAGUUGUCAACACAACUCUCGUCAAACUGAAGUCUGAAUCGUUACCGAAGAGCCUACGGAAAACAAAAAAUAAUGCAACAAAUACAUUCUAUGAAAAAGCUAAGGCGAAUAUACCAAUACCUGAAACUGUACAAAAGUUCAAUAAUUCUAGUCACAUAGAGAAAGGUUUAAAGGAUUCCUUUGCACAGUUACUAAGUAAACCAACGGGUAAUAAUUCGGAAUCUAUAGUUGAUCGGCCACAGAUUCCUGUAAAUAGUACAUUGUAAGAUAUUUUCUAUAUUAUAUGUAUAGUAAUGGGCCCUUUUGGUAAGAUACAGACUCAAAGAAGUAUGGCUAUCGUAUGUCGAAAAGUAAUUUCAUAUACGAAAGCCAUACUUUUUCUUACACAGCAAAUUUCCGUUUUCUAAUAUUUCUAUUUUAAUAGACAGCCCACAGACAAAGUCGUCGUAAUAUUUAUAUAUUUCUUUAACAUGGUCAUAAUACAAAUUUCUUCUUUUUUUAAUAUGUACGUAAAUCGAAUAAAAAAAUUAGCGGUUAUCGCUGCUCGGUGUCGAUAGUAUGCAAAAGCUUUAGUAUAACGUUACUAGGGUAAUGACACGUCUUUUGAGUCAGUAGUUCUCUCACUCGUGAUUCAAAACCUUAUUUUCUUUAUAUUAAGGUGCAUUUUACAAUGCACAAAUAUCUUUUAUAAGAAUUUAAACAAGGUGUCCUCACAUAGUAAUGAAUUGCGACUUGUUAUUUACCUUAUAAAUAAAAUAACAUCACACAAUUUCGCAAUUUCUUGAAUAAAGUAUUUGAAAUGUGUACUAGCAAUAUUUAGGAGUAAACGUCUGCUGUUACUACGGCAAGAUCUCAAAAAAUAUUUUACACUUUUGUAAUUUUUAAUGAAGGUGAGAUGUUAGAAUAUUCGUAAUUACAAGAAUUAUGUAUCUUUCUAUAUAUUAUAACAAUUGGUUGUUUUAAUUUUAAAUAUUAUUUUAGAUUCAUUUAUUGAGUAAUAUUAUAAUUCCUGUUAUGGCUGUUCUUCUACUUUUAAGUUUAAUGUGUUAAUAAUUAGAGAUUUAAAUCGUAAGAUGCGCAAAUUUGAUUAUUUAUCAUAUAGUACCUACUUAUAGGACGCAAUUAGGUAUACAUAUUUUCGUUAUCGCGUCUUAUAAGUGCGUAAUUGUUUUCUCUCUGUAAUACAAUCGCACGUGGUACAUACAUAGAAUUUACAAAGAAAUUAUCUGAGAAACUGUAAAUCCAUAAAAUAUUUUUCUUGUAUUUUUUGAUCAAGUUCUUUCUGUAAACAUAUUUUAUAGAUUUGCGUACCUAUAUAAGAGAACCUAAGCAGAAAAAAACGAGCAAUUCUUCACUUCUUAUAUGCGAUAAAAACUUUAUCUUAGUAAUUAGUUAUGAGUCACUUAUCCUAGAAUCCAAAACUAACUACUUAAAAAGUUGCAUUUUGCUGAUUAGACUUAACCUCUAAAUAUAUUAUAGCAAUGUUACUUUUGACCAUUAUGUAGCUUUCCUGAAUAAACAAAUUUUGUCAGUUGUGUUAAC